rnacentral:rRNA from 1 species
CCUACGGGCGGCAGCAGUGAGGAAUAUUGGUCAAUGGGCGUAAGCCUGAACCAGCCAAGUCGCGUGAGGGAUGAAUGUCCUACGGAUUGUAAACUUCUUUUAUAAGGGAAUAAAGUGAGGCACGUGUCCCUUUUUGUAUGUACUUUAUGAAUAAGGAUCGGCUAACUCCGUGCCAGCAGCCGCGGUAAUACGGAGGUGGCAAGCGUUGUCCGGAUUUAUUGGGCGUAAAGGGAGUGCAGGCGGUUCAAUAAGUCUGAUGUGAAAGCCUUCGGCUCAACCGGAGAAUUGCAUCAGAAACUGGUGAACUUGAGUGCAGAAGAGGAGAGUGGAACGCGAUGUGUAGCGGUGAAAUGCUUAGAUAUCACGAAGAACUCCGAUUGCGAAGGCAGCUUACUAAGCUGCAACUGACACUGAUGCUCGAAAGUGUGGGGAUCAAACAGGAUUAGAUACCCUAGUAGUC